rnacentral:lncRNA from 1 species
CUCUGCUCCUAUGGAAUAGCUUAGAAACAUAUGGAUAUGAAAAUAAUUCAAGUGCAAGCUGAUGGGGAUAAAACUUCGUCUCUUCCUUUUUUCUGCGUUAAAUUGAAAGAUAAUCCAAAAAGCUAAUUCAGUUCUUUAUAAACUUAAUGGUCUUAAAAUCGAGUAAUGUAUCAUAAUCUAAUUUGUCGGGUCCGUGCUCAGUUUUCCUACCUUUAGUACCAAAUCUCCAUAAGCAACCAUAUAUUAUAUUGAAGUUUGGUUCGUUUUAUUUUUUUGUGAUUGAUUUGUUUUUUGCUUUUCGAAAAAGGGCAAAAAAAUAUUCUUGAACUAUAGGAAAAAGUGUAAAAAUACCCUUAUCUUUUGGUCUAAAAAUACUCUUCUAUUAAUCUUUUGAUCUAAAAAUACUCUUCCAUUCAUAUUUUGGCUCAUUUAUACCUUUGAAGCUAACAAUCCUCUCUUUAUUUUAUUUUUAAAAAAUUAUUUAUUAUGUGCCAUUUUCUUAUUGGAGGUAAUAUAACCCACUUCUACUAGAUUUUUUCUACUCUUCAAGACCCAAAAAAUAAUAAUUAAUAAAUCUAGUGUUUUUUUUUUUAUAUUUGCUAUAAUUUUUUAAAGUUUGUUUUGUGGUCACGAAGAAGAAUAUUAUUUUGACUUGGAUAAAUUAUGAGGAAAAAAUUAAAAGAUAUUUUGAAAAAACUAAUUGUUUUAUGUAUUUGUUGUAGCUUAUUUUUUUUGGAAGACAUGAAGCAGGUAUAUUAUUUUGAAUUGGAUCAAUUAUGGAGAAAAAUAUACAAAGAAUUUUUUAAAAAUAUCUAAAGUUACAACAAAACAUAUUUCGAUAAUUUCAAAAAUAUUGCUGCACAUACUUAUAUUCCAUUUAGACAAAAAGAAAAUCAAUCUUGUAAGAAUCAAAGUAAUUUUUUUAAUACCGUAUUAGCUUUCUUUAAUUUUCAUUUCAUGAAAUUUGAAUAGUUUUCUUUAUUUUUACCAUAACAUUAAUUUACAGAAAGGAAGGUGCAAAAAAAAAAAAAAAUUACUUAAAAAGUUUUUAUAGAUUUUUCUCAUAAUUUAUUUAAACCAAAAUAAUAUAUCUUCUUCAUGACCUUAAAAAAUUAAAAAGAAAAAGCUAUAGCAAAUAAAAAAAUUACUAGUUUUUUUGAAUUUUUUAAAUUAUGGGAAAAAAUCUAAUAGAGAUGGGGAAUUUAUUUCAUCUAAUAAGAAAAUGAAACAUAAUAACAUUUAAAAAAAGAAAAAAAAAGAAAGGGUUGCUAGUUUCAAGGUAUGAGCGAGCCAAAAAGGUGAAUGAAAUGAUAUUUUUAGACAAAAAAGAUGAUUAGAAAGAUAUUUUUGUGGAUGAAGGGUUUUUUAGACCUUUUCGCAUAGUUCAGGGUAUUUUGGUCCUAUUCCGUUUGUUUUUUAAUGGGUCUUUGAAUAUUCAUUAUGUCAUUUAGGAUUCUUCUCAGAUAUCAAACUACAUCAACUCAUAAUUGAAGCCCACAAGAAAAUCAAGAAAAAUAACAUAUGAAAAUUAGAAUUUCAUGAAUCAAAUCUAAAAAAGAAAUUGAAGAGGAAUUCAGAAGGACAACAAAAAAUUACCUCAAAGUUGCAGCGUACUUGGAGAAGAUUGAAGAUGAAAAUGAGUAUUGGGAGAAGCUUGAAGACGAACAAUUGUGGAAAACAAAAUAUCUAUGAACAAUAAAAAACAAAGGGUGAUUUUGAAAUUUGAGUUCACUUGAGUAUCCAAAAUUCAGAAUCAAAUUUCGCAUUGAAGAACAAAAAAAACACUCUCAUAUCUCCUUUUCCCCUUUACUUAUUACAACAAAAAGUACCGGAUAGAAAUUGAUUAAAAUUCAAAAACAAGAAAAGAGGAAAGGAAAAGGAAGUGCAUAGCCACGUGUUACAAUGUGGUGGCAAUCAAAAUCAGAUGGCACAAUAUUGAGAACUGAGCAGUUAAUGAAAAUGACGAUAAUAUCCUUUCUAAAUUGAAAUUUGA